rnacentral:lncRNA from 1 species
ACUUCUAGUCACAAUUCACAACUGUGAUCGACGACUUUUCAUAUGUUGAAAACGAUGAAUAAUGGCAUCGUUGUUUACAGUUGAGAAUAUCUUACGCUCUACAUAGAAAACUAAACAACUAUUUAAAAAUCCAUCUUUUGAUCAACGACUUUUCAUAUGUUGAAAACAGAUGAAUAAUGGCAUCGUUGUUUACAGUUGAGAAUAUCUUACGCUCUACACAGCAAACUAAACAACUAUUUAAAAAUCCAUCACCUAUGCUAUUACGAAG